rnacentral:rRNA from 1 species
AACGAACGCUGGCGGCAUGCCUAACACAUGCAAGUCGAACGAGAUCUUCGGGUCUAGUGGCGCACGGGUGCGUAACGCGUGGGAAUCUGCCCUUUGGUUCGGAAUAACAGUUGGAAACGACUGCUGAUACCGGAUGAUGGCGAAAGUCCAAAGAUUUAUCGCCAGAGGAUGAGCCUGCGUAGGAUUAGCUAGUUGGUGUGGUAAAGGCGCACCAAGGCGACGAUCCUUAACUGGUCUGGGAGGAUGAUCAGCGACACUGGGACUGAGACACGGCCCAGACGCCUACGGGAGGCAGCAGUGGGGAAUAUUGGACAAUGGGCGAAAGCCUGAUCCAGCAAUGCCGCGUGAGGGAGGAAGGCCUUAGGGUUGUAAAGCUCUUUUACCCGGGAUGAUAAUGACAGUACCGGGAGAAUAAGCUCCGGCUAACUCCGUGCCAGCCGCCGCCGUAA